GGGACAUGUUCUUUAGACAAUGUAGCAAGGUGGUAUACACCACAGGGUCAUGUUCUUUAGACGAUGUAGCAAGGUGGUAUACACCACAGGGACAUGUUCUUUAGACGAUGUAGCAAGGUGGUAUACACCACAGGGUCAUGUUCUUUAGACGAUGUAGCAAGGUGGUAUACAACACAGGGACAUGUUCUUUAGGCGAUGUAGCAAGGUGGUAUACACCACAGGGUCAUGUUCUUUAGACGAUGUAGCAAGGUGGUAUACACCACAGGGACAUGCUCUUUAGACGAUGUAGCAAGGUGGUAUACACCACAGGGUCAUGUUCUUUAGACGAUGUAGCAAGGUGGUAUACACCACAGGGACAUGCUCUUUAGACGAUGUAGCAAGGUGGUAUACACCACAGGGACAUGUUCUUUAGACGAUGUAGCAAGGUGGUAUACACCACAGGGACAUGUUCUUUAGAUGAUGUAGCAAGGUGGUAUACAGGGACAUGUUCUUUAGACGAUGUAGCAAGGUGGUAUACAGGGACAUGUUCUUUAGACGAUGUAGCAAGGUGGUAUACACCACAGGGACAUGCUCUUUAGACGAUGUAGCAAGGUGGUAUACACCACAGGGUCAUGUUCUUUAGACGAUGUAGCAAGGUGGUAUACACCACAGGGACAUGUUCUUUAGAUGAUGUAGCAAGGUGGUAUACAGGGACAUGUUCUUUAGACGAUGUAGCAAGGUGGUAUACAGGGACAUGUUCUUUAGACGAUGUAGCAAGGUGGUAUACACCACAGGGACAUGUUCUUUAGAUGAUGUAGCAAGGUGGUAUACACCACAGGGUCAUGUUCUUUAGAUGAUGUAGCAAGGUGGUAUACACCACAGGGUCAUGUUCUUUAGGCGAUGUAGCAAGGUGGUAUACAGGGACAUGUUCUUUAGACGAUGUAGCAAGGUGGUAUACACCACAGGGUCAUGUUCUUUAGACGAUGUAGCAAGGUGGUAUACACCACAGGGUCAUGUUCUUUAGACGAUGUAGCAAGGUGGUAUACACCACAGGGACAUGCUCUUUAGACGAUGUAGCAAGGUGGUAUACACCACAGGGUCAUGUUCUUUAGACGAUGUAGCAAGGUGGUAUACACCACAGGGACAUGUUCUUUAGAUGAUGUAGCAAGGUGGUAUACAGGGACAUGUUCUUUAGACGAUGUAGCAAGGUGGUAUACAGGGACAUGUUCUUUAGACGAUGUAGCAAGGUGGUAUACACCACAGGGACAUGUUCUUUAGAUGAUGUAGCAAGGUGGUAUACACCACAGGGUCAUGUUCUUUAGAUGAUGUAGCAAGGUGGUAUACAGGGACAUGUUCUUUAGACGAUGUAGCAAGGUGGUAUACACCACAGGGUCAUGUUCUUUAGGCGAUGUAGCAAGGUGGUAUACAGGGACAUGUUCUUUAGACGAUGUAGCAAGGUGGUAUACACCACAGGGUCAUGUUCUUUAGACGAUGUAGCAAGGUGGUAUACACCACAGGGUCAUGUUCUUUAGACGAUGUAGCAAGGUGGUAUACACCACAGGGACAUGCUCUUUAGACGAUGUAGCAAGGUGGUAUACACCACAGGGUCAUGUUCUUUAGACGAUGUAGCAAGGUGGUAUACACCACAGGGACAUGUUCUUUAGAUGAUGUAGCAAGGUGGUAUACAGGGACAUGUUCUUUAGACGAUGUAGCAAGGUGGUAUACACCACAGGGACAUGCUCUUUAGACGAUGUAGCAAGGUGGUAUACACCACAGGGUCAUGUUCUUUAGACGAUGUAGCAAGGUGGUAUACACCACAGAGACAUGUUCUUUAGACGAUGUAGCAAGGUGGUAUACACCACAGGGACAUGUUCUUUAGACGAUGUAGCAAGGUGGUAUACACCACAGGGACAUGUUCUUUAGACGAUGUAGCAAGGUGGUAUACACCACAGGGACAUGUUCUUUAGACGAUGUAGCAAGGUGGUAUACACCACAGGGACUUGGUAGCCAUAGAACGUUGUGAUCCUCUAAGAACUAGAACAAGGUGUUCUCAUUCCAAUUCUACUGUUCCAACAGCAAGGUCCUUUCAGUGGAACCCCAUUGGCUGUGUUGUCUAGUGCUUCAGUGAUAGGAAGGGUUUUUCUGUGGAACCCCAUUGGCUGUGUUGUCUAGUGCUUCAGUGAUAGGAAGGGUUUUUCUGUGGAACCCCAUUGGCUGUGUUGUCUAGUGCUUCAGUGAUAGGAAGGGUUUUUCAGUGAUUUUGUGCCUAAUCUUUAUUUGUGCUUUUAUAAUUGUAUUUUUGGUGUUAAGAUAGAUCCUCCUCGCCCCCCUGAGAUACACAUGACGCAGACGGACAGAUGACGGAGGCGUGUGAUAGAUAGAAGAAGAGAAAGGAGAGAGAGUGGGACUGACAUCAAAGAGAAAUAACAUCACAAGGUGUCACACUAACUAACUAACUAACUAAACUAAGCUAUGACUACGUCAUUACUAACUACAGCAUUACUUCACAGCCAAACCAGACACACACACAUACACACACACACACACACAACCAAAC